GGUUAAGCGACUAAGCGUACACGGUGGAUGCCCUGGCAGUCAGAGGCGAUGAAGGACGUGCUAAUCUGCGAAAAGCGUCGGUAAGGUGAUAUGAACCGUUACAGCCGGCGAUGUCCGAAUGGGGAAACCCAGUGCAAUUCGUUGCACUAUCGUUAACUGAAUACAUAGGUUAACGAGGCGAACCGGGGGAACUGAAACAUCUAAGUACCCCGAGGAAAAGAAAUCAACCGAGAUUCCCCCAGUAGCGGCGAGCGAACGGGGAGCAGCCCAGAGUCUGAAUCAGCUUGUGUGUUAGUGGAACGGUCUGGAAAGUCCGACGGUACAGGGUGAUAGUCCCGUACACCAAAAUGCACAGGCUGUGAACUCGAAGAGUAGGGCGGGACACGUGGUAUCCUGUCUGAAUAUGGGGGGACCAUCCUCCAAGGCUAAAUACUCCUGACUGACCGAUAGUGAACCAGUACCGUGAGGGAAAGGCGAAAAGAACCCCGGCGAGGGGAGUGAAAAAGAACCUGAAACCGUGUACGUACAAGCAGUGGGAGCACCUUCGGGUGUGACUGCGUACCUUUUGUAUAAUGGGUCAGCGACUUAUAUUCUGUAGCAAGGUUAACCGUAUAGGGGAGCCGCAGGGAAACCGAGUCUUAACUGGGCGUUAAGUUGCAGGGUAUAGACCCGAAACCCGGUGAUCUAGCCAUGGGCAGGUUGAAGGUUGGGUAACACUAACUGGAGGACCGAACCGACUAAUGUUGAAAAAUUAGCGGAUGACUUGUGGCUGGGGGUGAAAGGCCAAUCAAACCGGGAGAUAGCUGGUUCUCCCCGAAAGCUAUUUAGGUAGCGCCUCGUGAAUUCAUCUUCGGGGGUAGAGCACUGUUUCGGCUAGGGGGUCAUCCCGACUUACCAACCCGAUGCAAACUACGAAUACCGAAGAAUGUUAUCACGGGAGACACACGGCGGGUGCUAACGUCCGUCGUGAAGAGGGAAACAACCCAGACCGCCAGCUAAGGUCCCAAAGUCAUGGUUAAGUGGGAAACGAUGUGGGAAGGCACAGACAGCCAGGAUGUUGGCUUAGAAGCAGCCAUCAUUUAAAGAAAGCGUAAUAGCUCACUGGUCGAGUCGGCCUGCGCGGAAGAUGUAACGGGGCUAAACCAUGCACCGAAGCUGCGGCAGCGACACUAUGUGUUGUUGGGUAGGGGAGCGUUCUGUAAGCCUGCGAAGGUGUGCUGUGAGGCAUGCUGGAGGUAUCAGAAGUGCGAAUGCUGACAUAAGUAACGAUAAAGCGGGUGAAAAGCCCGCUCGCCGGAAGACCAAGGGUUCCUGUCCAACGUUAAUCGGGGCAGGGUGAGUCGACCCCUAAGGCGAGGCCGAAAGGCGUAGUCGAUGGGAAACAGGUUAAUAUUCCUGUACUUGGUGUUACUGCGAAGGGGGGACGGAGAAGGCUAUGUUAGCCGGGCGACGGUUGUCCCGGUUUAAGCAUGUAGGCUGGUUGUCCAGGCAAAUCCGGAUAAUCAAGGCUGAGGUGUGAUGACGAGGCACUACGGUGCUGAAGUAACAAAUGCCCUGCUUCCAGGAAAAGCCUCUAAGCAUCAGGUAACAUUAAAUCGUACCCCAAACCGACACAGGUGGUCAGGUAGAGAAUACCAAGGCGCUUGAGAGAACUCGGGUGAAGGAACUAGGCAAAAUGGUGCCGUAACUUCGGGAGAAGGCACGCUGGUGUGUAGGUGAAGUCCCUGCGGAUGGAGCUGAGACCAGUCGAAGAUACCAGCUGGCUGCAACUGUUUAUUAAAAACACAGCACUGUGCAAACACGAAAGUGGACGUAUACGGUGUGACGCCUGCCCGGUGCCGGAAGGUUAAUUGAUGGGGUUAUCCGUAAGGAGAAGCUCUUGAUCGAAGCCCCGGUAAACGGCGGCCGUAACUAUAACGGUCCUAAGGUAGCGAAAUUCCUUGUCGGGUAAGUUCCGACCUGCACGAAUGGCGUAAUGAUGGCCAGGCUGUCUCCACCCGAGACUCAGUGAAAUUGAACUCGCUGUGAAGAUGCAGUGUACCCGCGGCAAGACGGAAAGACCCCGUGAACCUUUACUAUAGCUUGACACUGAACAUUGAGCCUUGAUGUGUAGGAUAGGUGGGAGGCUUUGAAGCGUGGACGCCAGUCUGCGUGGAGCCAACCUUGAAAUACCACCCUUUAAUGUUUGAUGUUCUAACGUUGGCCCCUUACCGGGGUUGCGGACAGUGUCUGGUGGGUAGUUUGACUGGGGCGGUCUCCUCCCAAAGCGUAACGGAGGAGCACGAAGGUUAGCUAAUCCUGGUCGGACAUCAGGAGGUUAGUGCAAUGGCAUAAGCUAGCUUGACUGCGAGCGUGACGGCGCGAGCAGGUGCGAAAGCAGGUCAUAGUGAUCCGGUGGUUCUGAAUGGAAGGGCCAUCGCUCAACGGAUAAAAGGUACUCCGGGGAUAACAGGCUGAUACCGCCCAAGAGUUCAUAUCGACGGCGGUGUUUGGCACCUCGAUGUCGGCUCAUCACAUCCUGGGGCUGAAGUAGGUCCCAAGGGUAUGGCUGUUCGCCAUUUAAAGUGGUACGCGAGCUGGGUUUAGAACGUCGUGAGACAGUUCGGUCCCUAUCUGCCGUGGGCGCUGGAGAAUUGAGGGGGGCUGCUCCUAGUACGAGAGGACCGGAGUGGACGCAUCACUGGUGUUCGGGUUGUCAUGCCAAUGGCACUGCCCGGUAGCUAAAUGCGGAAGAGAUAAGUGCUGAAAGCAUCUAAGCACGAAACUUGCCCCGAGAUGAGUUCUCCCUGAGACUUUAAGUCUCCUGAAGGAACGUUGAAGACGACGACGUUGAUAGGCCGGGUGUGUAAGCGCAGCGAUGCGUUGAGCUAACCGGUACUAAUGAACCGUGAGGCUUAACCUU
rnacentral:rRNA from 1 species